UGGACCCUUUUACACCAACCCCUCCCAAAUCCUUUGUCCUCUGGACUCCAUGCAGUACACCAUUAGACCGCAUGUCCUGACCUGGAAUUCUUUAUUGUUCCUGAAUAAACCUAUUCUGAAGGAGAAAUAUCUUGCUGUCUACUUGUUAACAGUCAACAGAGGCAUCCAGGGAGCCGUGCUGUGGAUGAGUGGGGAUUCUCAGAGCUUCGACUUGUGUUAUUUGUAAGAAAAUUCAAAUCCAGAUGGAUCAUAAACCUAAAUAUAAAAAAGAAAAGCAACAAAGUUUUUAUAAGAAAACCUAAGAGAACGUUUUCAUGAUACAAAGACUCUUAAAGAGGAAACAAAACAUGUUAACCAUAAAGGAAAGAACAAUCAGCUGGACUGUAUUAGAAUUAAGAACUUCUGUUCAGAAGACGAUACCAUUAACAGAGUAAAAAGACAGGCUAGAGACCAGGAAAGAAGUGUUAGGACACUGAGCAAUCUCCAAGAUAUGUUGGUAAAUGAAAAAGGGUGCUGCAGAACAGCAUCACUAGAUCGAUAAACAGAUAAACAUACAGUACCACCGCCGAGAAAUCACAUAAUGGCGUCUCCUCUGCAUUCCAGCUUCAAUAUCAUGGCGCCAUACCGCCAAAGUGAAAAGCCUUCAAACGAUUUUCUGAGGGAAAAUUUGCAUCUUGUUUUAAAGUGAAUCUUAACCGAAGAAAGAUGCAGGCUGAAAACCUAAACUGAUAAUCUUGCCAAUUCAGCGGACUCAGUCAGCCAUGUUCCCACCCAAUCUGACGAAACAUUCACUCCAGCACACAAGCUGGUUACACACCAGCGCUCCAUCAAGCAGGAUCUUCAUGGAAGCCAGCAAGAUCAACCCGUAAGGGUAUGAUUUCCUCGUACCCAAUUCAGGAAGUUGCCCCUGCCCUGUAUUUAACAAACUGCUGGAUGUGUUGCCUCCUACCUGACCCCACAGAUAGACAGCUGAUUGUGCUGCUGCUGAAUACUACAAAUGGACGUUUCUCUAAACAUGGACCUUUCUGGUACCUCAGUUACCCCAACCUUAUUAUUCUGGAUUCAAUGUGUUGCCACAGCUGGACUCAGACAAUGCAAAAGCAAAUGCCUUCCUAGGCAUCAACUUGCUCCUGUCAAACACAGGGCAGCUGGAACAUCUGAACAAGGGGGAAUGGGACCCACCAUCAGGGAGAUUUGACCUCAGUCGUGAAGGCCGUCUCCUCCCAUACACUUGCCCCUGCCUUACACAGGCUUUUCAUUUCUACUCAAGGACCCUACCCACUGGGAGUGGUUUCUGGCUGGCAGAGUCCCAUAGUAGCAAUGACUCUUACACUCUAAGCACUAUGUGGGCCCCUUUGGAGUGUCAUUUCUUUUGUAAACACAGGCCUUUACCUGCCUUCCUCCUAGCAAUGUAAUGCAUAUAUACAGGGCAUUAAUGUAAUGCAUAUAUAUGGGCAUUAAUAAGAGACUUCCAAAUAUUCAAAACAGUCCCCCCCACCCCAUUGAGCAUAUUGCACUACACUCAAAGAUAAUAAAUUCAAUCAAUUUGUUUGUUUUGUUUAUUUUUUGAAUUUAAAUACCUGACCCAAUGAAGUCAGGGCUAUGCCUGCAUUGUGCUUGUGGAUUCAAAGCUGUGUGCACCUCACCAAAUUGGCUGGGCAAUGUCUUUUUCUAUGUUCCAUAACUUCUUAAGUGCAAUUUUUUUUUUUUUUAGAAAAAAAGGCAAAAAAAAUUUUUUCAAGUUACAAAAAUAUGUGUAGGUCAAAAAUACAGUCUAGUCCAUAUAAGAGUAGUUCCAGCCACUUAAAAUGUGUACAGUUUGGAAAAAGCAAUUCAUAUACACAUCUUUAAAAACAUUUCAUGAAUAGUAUACAACCAUUCAAUUCAGUUAUUGCUUGUUAUAUGCAGCUUUUACUUGAGACUGCUCUCCAUAAGAGAAAGGUCAGUGUUUGGACACUCUGGUCGUUACUGCUUAAGCUAUGGUUUUAAAAGUCCAUCCAAAAUCAGAAUAAGCUCACUUUGAAUAAACUAUGAUGUAUUAAGUUUUUUUUGUUUUGUUUUUUUGGGUUUUUUUUUUUUUCUUUAGAGGGCAGUGUUACU